rnacentral:rRNA from 1 species
CUACCGUACGUACCCGUUACCGUCGUCGUACCGUUCGUACCGUACCCGUACCGUACGUACGGUANGGGGUUGGAAAGUUUCCUGUGUAGCGGUGAAAUGCGUAGAUAUAGGAAGGAACACCAGUGGCGAAGGCGACCACCUGGGCUCAUACUGACACUNCGAGGUGCGAAAGCGUGGGAGCAAACAGGAUUAGAUACCCUGGUAGUCCACGCCGUAAACGAUGUCAACUAGCCGUUGGAAUCCUUGAGAUUUUAGUGGCGCAGCUAACGCAUUAAGUUGACCGCCUGGGGAGUACGGCCGCGUCGACGACGGGGGCCCGCACAAGCGGUGGAGCAUGUGGUUUAAUUCGAAGCAACGCGAAGAACCUUACCAGGUCUUGACAUCUAGUGCCAUCCUAAGAGAUUAGGAGUUCCCUUCGGGGACGCUAAGACAGGUGGUGCAUGGNCUGUCGUCAGCUCGUGUCGUGAGAUGUUGGGUUAAGUCCCGCAACGAGCGCAACCCUUGUUAUUAGUUGCCAGCAUU